AGAGAAAGGAGACCAGGGAGAAAAAGGUGAACUGAGGCUUCUAGGACUGAAAGGUGACCGAGGUGAAAAGGGUGAAGCUGGUCCUGCAGGCCCUCCCGGGUUACCUGGAACUACAUCCGUGUUCACACCACAUCCACGGAUGCCCGGAGAACAAGGGCUCAAAGGAGAGAAGGG